rnacentral:tRNA from 1 species
GGAUUGUGGCUCAGUGGUAGAGCACUCGCCUAGUGGGGCGGGACCCGGGUUCGAUCCUCAGCACCA